AAGUCGUAACAAGGUUUCCGUAGGUGAACCUGCGGAAGGAUCAUUACCUAGAGUCAGUGGGCUUUGCCUGCUAUCUCUUACCCAUGUUUUAUGAGCACUUACGUUUCCUCGGUGGGUUCGCCCACCGAUUGGACCACUUAAACCCUUUGCAGUUUUGUAAUCAGCGUCUGAAAAACUUAAUAGUUACAACUUUCAACAACGGAUCUCUUGGUUCUG
rnacentral:misc_RNA from 2 species